GUAAAAAUAGCUUAACCCAUAAAGCAGUGCACUGAAGUUGCAAAGAUGUUCUUCUUUUUACA
rnacentral:tRNA from 1 species